AGUGAACGCUGGCGGUAGGCCUAACACAUGCAAGUCGAACGGCAGCACAGUAAGAGCUUGCUCUUACGGGUGUCGAGUGGCGGACGGGUGAGGAAUACAUCGGAAUCUACUUUUUCGUGGGGGCUAACGUAGGGAAACUUACGCUAAUACCGCAUACGACCUACGGGUGAAAGCACGGGAUCUUCGGACCUUGCGCGAUUGAAUGAGCCGAUGUCGGAUUAGCUAGUUGGCGGGGUAAAGGCCCACCAAGGCGACGAUCCGUAGCUGGUCUGAGAGGAUGAUCAGCCACACUGGAACUGAGACACGGUCCAGACUCCUACGGGAGGCAGCAGUGGGGAAUAUUGGACAAUGGGCGCAAGCCUGAUCCAGCCAUACCGCGUGGGUGAAGAAGGCCUUCGGGUUGUAAAGCCCUUUUGUUGGGAAAGAAAAGCAGCAGGUUAAUACCCCGCUGUUCUGACGGUACCCAAAGAAUAAGCACCGGCUAACUUCGUG
rnacentral:rRNA from 1 species